rnacentral:rRNA from 1 species
UACGUAGGGGGCAAGCGUUGUCCGGAAUUAUUGGGCGUAAAGCGCGCGCAGGCGGUCCUUUAAGUCGGAUGUGAAAGCCCACGGCUCAACCGUGGAGGGUCAUUGGAAACUGGAGGACUUGAGUACAGAAGAGAAGAGUGGAAUUCCACGUGUAGCGGUGAAAUGCGUAGAGAUGUGGAGGAACACCAGUGGCGAAGGCGACUCUUUGGUCUGUAACUGACGCUGAGGCGCGAAAGCGUGGGGAGCAAACAGG